rnacentral:rRNA from 2 species
CAAGUCGAACGAACUCUGGUAUUGAUUGGUGCUUGCAUCAUGAUUUACAUUUGAGUGAGUGGCGAACUGGUGAGUAACACGUGGGAAACCUGCCCAGAAGCGGGGGAUAACACCUGGAAACAGAUGCUAAUACCGCAUAACAACUUGGACCGCAUGGUCCGAGUUUGAAAGAUGGCUUCGGCUAUCACUUUUGGAUGGUCCCGCGGCGUAUUAGCUAGAUGGUGGGGUAACGGCUCACCAUGGCAAUGAUACGUAGCCGACCUGAGAGGGUAAUCGGCCACAUUGGGACUGAGACACGGCCCAAACUCCUACGGGAGGCAGCAGUAGGGAAUCUUCCACAAUGGACGAAAGUCUGAUGGAGCAACGCCGCGUGAGUGAAGAAGGGUUUCGGCUCGUAAAACUCUGUUGUUAAAGAAGAACAUAUCUGAGAGUAACUGUUCAGGUAUUGACGGUAUUUAACCAGAAAGCCACGGCUAACUACGUGCCAGCAGCCGCGGUAAUACGUAGGUGGCAAGCGUUGUCCGGAUUUAUUGGGCGUAAAGCGAGCGCAGGCGGUUUUUUAAGUCUGAUGUGAAAGCCUUCGGCUCAACCGAAGAAGUGCAUCGGAAACUGGGAAACUUGAGUGCAGAAGAGGACAGUGGAACUCCAUGUGUAGCGGUGAAAUGCGUAGAUAUAUGGAAGAACACCAGUGGCGAAGGCGGCUGUCUGGUCUGUAACUGACGCUGAGGCUCGAAAGUAUGGGUAGCAAACAGGAUUAGAUACCCUGGUAGUCCAUACCGUAAACGAUGAAUGCUAAGUGUUGGAGGGUUUCCGCCCUUCAGUGCUGCAGCUAACGCAUUAAGCAUUCCGCCUGGGGAGUACGGCCGCAAGGCUGAAACUCAAAGGAAUUGACGGGGGCCCGCACAAGCGGUGGAGCAUGUGGUUUAAUUCGAAGCUACGCGAAGAACCUUACCAGGUCUUGACAUACUAUGCAAAUCUAAGAGAUUAGACGUUCCCUUCGGGGACAUGGAUACAGGUGGUGCAUGGUUGUCGUCAGCUCGUGUCGUGAGAUGUUGGGUUAAGUCCCGCAACGAGCGCAACCCUUAUUAUCAGUUGCCAGCAUUAAGUUGGGCACUCUGGUGAGACUGCCGGUGACAAACCGGAGGAAGGUGGGGAUGACGUCAAAUCAUCAUGCCCCUUAUGACCUGGGCUACACACGUGCUACAAUGGAUGGUACAACGAGUUGCGAACUCGCGAGAGUAAGCUAAUCUCUUAAAGCCAUUCUCAGUUCGGAUUGUAGGCUGCAACUCGCCUACAUGAAGUCGGAAUCGCUAGUAAUCGCGGAUCAGCAUGCCGCGGUGAAUACGUUCCCGGGCCUUGUACACACCGCCCGUCACACCAUGAGAGUUUGUAACACCCAAAGUCGGUGGGGUAA